rnacentral:rRNA from 1 species
UGGGGAAUAUUGCACAAUGGGCGCAAGCCUGAUGCAGCCAUGCCGCGUGUAUGAAGAAGGCCUUCGGGUUGUAAAGUACUUUCAGUCGGGAGGAAGGUGGUAAGGUUAAUAACCUUGGCAAUUGACGUUACCGACAGAAGAAGCACCGGCUAACUCCGUGCCAGCAGCCGCGGUAAUAUGGAGGGUGCAAGCGUUAAUCGGAAUUACUGGGCGUAAAGCGCACGCAGGCGGUCUGUCAAGUCGGAUGUGAAAUCCCCGGGCUCAACCUGGGAACUGCAUUCGAAACUGGCAGGCUAGAGUCUUGUAGAGGGGGGUAGAAUUCCAGGUGUAGCGGUGAAAUGCGUAGAGAUCUGGAGGAAUACCGGUGGCGAAGGCGGCCCCCUGGACAAAGACUAACGCUCAGGUGCGAAAGCGUGGGGAGCAAACAGG